rnacentral:sRNA from 1 species
CUUUUUAAGUAAGGGAGGAAAGUCUGGACUUCAUAGGAGAGGAUACCAGCGAAAAGCUGGGGGCCGUAAGGCUACGGAAAGUGUAACAGAAAAUAUGCCGCUGUUUAACUUCUAGUUAAAUAGACAGGGUGAAAUGCUAACUUUAAGAGGAAGCUCUACUUGAGGAGACUCAAGAGAUGACAAACCCUAUCCGAAGCAAGACCGAAUUAAAGCUUUAUAGUUCUCCGCUAUGCUUUAUAAGGGUCGCUU